GGUCCCAUCGUCUAGCGGUUAGGACACCAGGUUCUCAUCCUGGCAACCCGGGUUCGAUUCCCGGUGGGAUCACCA
rnacentral:tRNA from 1 species